rnacentral:rRNA from 1 species
GACGAACGCUGGCGGCGUGCUUAAUACAUGCCAGUCGAACGGAAAGGCCCUGCUUUUGUGGGGUGCUCGAGUGGCGAACGGGUGAGUAACACGUGAGUAACCUGCCCUUGACUUUGGGAUAACUUCUGGAAACUGGGGCUAAUACCGGAUAGGAGCUCCUGCUGCAUGGUGUUGGUUGGAAAGUUUCGGCGGCUGGGGAUGGACGCGCGGCUUAUGAGCUUGUUGGUGGGGUAGUGGCUUCCCAAGGCUUAGACGGGUAGCCGGCCUGAGAGGGUGACCGGCCACAUUGGGACUGAGGUACGGGCAAGACUGCUACGGGAGCAAGCAGUGGAGAAUAGUGCACAAUGGGCGGAAGCCUGAUGCAGCAACGUCGCGUGCGGGAUGACGGCCUUCGGGUUGGAAACCGCUUUCGCCUGGAAAGAAGAGUGAGUGACGGUAAUGGGUAAAGAAGCAACGGCUAACUACGUG